CGCACACGCUGAAGCUUAAUCAGGUGAAGUGUACCUGGUUCCUAGUGGCAGGGCGGCUGAGCCAGAGGCCGAGGGAGAUGCAGAGAGGCACGAAGGCAGCUUGGCGUCCCAGGAGCCCCCGGCCAGGAGCAGCAGUUCAAACAGUAAUGAAGAUCUAACCCCAGCAAAGUUCUGGGAACUCUUCUGCUGAGCUGACGGGCUCUCCGCCUCUGCCCACAUCCCCCGCAGAUCCGGGAUCCUGCAAAAAGAUCCAGUGAGGAACAAGAAUUGGGCGCUGGGGGAAUCUGGUCAUGGAGGCUCGCAGCUAGAGCCAGGGGCAGUGCUGGCGGCCUUGGACUGCAGGAAGAGGCAAGACUCUCAGUCCAGGAGGACCAGGCAGGGAAGAGGGAGAAAGUGCUCAGAUUGCUCAACACAUGUCACCGCAGGCGCGACCACAGCAGAUACCUGCUGUGCCUCUGCUAGCUGCUGCACUUGUCCAGAGCUAUGACUCACAUUAAGGAGUCCAAGCCAACCCAAAAAGGCAAAAUGAAGCCUUAGCAACUCGCAGCACCCCAGAGUGCUAGCAAUGUGACUUGUCCCCUUUGUCAGGACCACACAGAGCCCGUGCAGAGGCCUUUCAGAGGGCCUCACUCUGGGUCCAGCUCCACGAGGCACAAUGAACAGUAACUUCUGCCGAGCUCUGGUGGACCGUGGGCCCCCGGGGGGCAUGCAGCUAGGUGUCGUGGCCCCUGCUGGACAGACGCCGCUGGCAGCCACCGAACCCUUGAGCAACGUACCCUUUCUAUUGUACCCCGGCCACUCCGAGCCGCCUUACUACGACGCCUACACUGGGGUGUUCCCCUACGUGCCCUUUCCCGGCGCCUUCGGGGUUUACGACUACCCGUUCGAGC
rnacentral:lncRNA from 1 species